GGGGGUGUGACGUGCUCAGACACCACAAGGGAGGAGGAGGAAGGAAGUCAAAGUGUGUCCUGGGCUGGUUGGUUGAAUAUUGGGCAGCAGAACCCCCUGAGGAAGCUCUGCAGGGUGUCCUUGGCUUCAUCUCCAGGCGUUGGGCUCAGCCCAGGGUUAGAUCUGACGUGGUGGGGCUGGAAAAGCUCGAGACAGGAGUGAGGAAGGAGCUCAGAGUGUGUCCUGGGUUGUUUUUUGGGCAGCAGAACCCCCUGAGGAAGCUCUGCCUGGGCCUGGAGAGUGAAUUUGGCUUCAUCUCCAGGGGUUGAACUCUGCCCAGGGUUAGUCCUGACACGGAAAACUUUGACACAGGAGAGUGUGACGAGCUCAGACAGCACAAGGGAGGGGGAGGAAGGUCCUCAGGGUGUGUCCUGGGCUGGUUUUUAGGGGGUUCCAGGU